rnacentral:rRNA from 1 species
AUUGAACGCUGGCGGCAUGCUUUACACAUGCAAGUCGAACGGCAGCGCGGGGCAACCUGGCGGCGAGUGGCGAACGGGUGAGUAAUAUAUCGGAACGUACCCAGAAGUGGGGGAUAACGUAGCGAAAGUUACGCUAAUACCGCAUACGAUCUACGGAUGAAAGUGGGGGACCUUCGGGCCUCAUGCUUUUGGAGCGGCCGAUAUCUGAUUAGCUAGUUGGUGAGGUAAAGGCUCACCAAGGCGACGAUCAGUAGCUGGCCUGAGAGGACGACCAGCCACACUGGGACUGAGACACGGACCAGACUCCUACGGGAGGCAGCAGUGAGGAAUAUUGGACAAUGGGCGCAAGCCUGAUCCAGCCAUGCCGCGUGCAGGAAGAAGCAUCUAUGGUGUGUAAACUGCUUUUGUACGGGAAGAAACACUCCUACGUGUAGGAGCUUGACGGUACCGUAAGAAUAAGGAUCGGCUAACUCCGUGCCAGCAGCCGCGGUAAU